rnacentral:rRNA from 1 species
CGCUGGCGGCAGGCCUAACACAUGCAAGUCGAGCGGUAACAGGGGUAGCUUGCUACCCGCUGACGAGCGGCGGACGGGUGAGUAAUGCAUAGGAAUCUGCCCGAUAGUGGGGGAUAACCUGGGGAAACCCAGGCUAAUACCGCAUACGUCCUACGGGAGAAAGGGGGCUCCGGCUCCCGCUAUUGGAUGAGCCUAUGUCGGAUUAGCUAGUUGGUGAGGUAAUGGCUCACCAAGGCAACGAUCCGUAGCUGGUCUGAGAGGAUGAUCAGCCACAUCGGGACUGAGACACGGCCCGAACUCCUACGGGAGGCAGCAGUGGGGAAUAUUGGACAAUGGGCGAAAGCCUGAUCCAGCCAUGCCGCGUGUGUGAAGAAGGCCCUCGGGUUGUAAAGCACUUUCAGCGAGGAAGAACGCCUAGUGGUUAAUACCCAUUAGGAAAGACAUCACUCGCAGAAGAAGCACCGGCUAACUCCGUGCCAGCAGCCGCGGUAAUACGGAGGGUGCAAGCGUUAAUCGGAAUUACUGGGCGUAAAGCGCGCGUAGGUGGCUUGAUAAGCCGGUUGUGAAAGCCCCGGGCUCAACCUGGGAACGGCAUCCGGAACUGUCAAGCUAGAGUGCAGGAGAGGAAGGUAGAAUUCCCGGUGUAGCGGUGAAAUGCGUAGAGAUCGGGAGGAAUACCAGUGGCGAAGGCGGCCUUCUGGACUGACACUGACACUGAGGUGCGAAAGCGUGGGUAGCAAACAGGAUUAGAUACCCUGGUAGUCCACGCCGUAAACGAUGUCGACCAGCCGUUGGGUGCCUAGCGCACUUUGUGGCGAAGUUAACGCGAUAAGUCGACCGCCUGGGGAGUACGGCCGCAAGGUUAAAACUCAAAUGAAUUGACGGGGGCCCGCACAAGCGGUGGAGCAUGUGGUUUAAUUCGAUGCAACGCGAAGAACCUUACCUACUCUUGACAUCCUGCGAACUUGUGAGAGAUCACUUGGUGCCUUCGGGAACGCAGAGACAGGUGCUGCAUGGCUGUCGUCAGCUCGUGUUGUGAAAUGUUGGGUUAAGUCCCGUAACGAGCGCCACC